UGGGGAAUUUUGGACAAUGGACGCNCCUUCUGAUCCAGCCAUUCCGCGUGCAGGACGAAGGCCUUCGGGUUGUAAACUGCUUUUGUACAGAACGAAAAAGUCUCUAUUAAUACUAGGGGCUCAUGACGGUACUGUAAGAAUAAGCACCGGCUAACUACGUGCCAGCAGCCGCGGUAAUACGUAGGGUGCAAGCGUUAAUCGGAAUUACUGGGCGUAAAGCGUGCGCAGGCGGUUAUAUAAGACAGAUGUGAAAUCCCCGGGCUCAACCUGGGAACUGCAUUUGUGACUGUAUAGCUGGAGUGCGGCAGAGGGGGAUGGAAUUCCGCGUGUAGCAGUGAAAUGCGUAGAUAUGCGGAGGAACACCGAUGGCGAAGGCAAUCCCCUGGGCCUGCACUGACGCUCAUGCACGAAAGCGUGGGGAGCAAACAGGAUUAGAUACCCUGGUAGUCCACGCCCUAAACGAUGUCAACUGGUUGUUGGGUCUUCACUGACUCAGUAACGAAGCUAACGCGUGAAGUUGACCGCCUGGGGAGUACGGCCGCAAGGUUGA
rnacentral:rRNA from 1 species